AAGCUCCCCUCACGCCGUCGCGGCUCCUCUCGCAUCCCGGUGUGUCCGGACUCCUUAACUCCGUGUCCGAGCGCGCUGCGCAGGGCCGGGACGCGCACAGCGCUCCGCGCCCGCAGCGCUGCCGAGCCGGGCGGCUGGAGCUCGGGGGGGAGGACAGGCGGCUGCUCACCCCCAUGGCGCUACCCAGCUCCCGCUUCACGGCGCUGGACAUCCCCCGUUCCGAGCCCCGGCUCUAGGAUGUGCUGCAAGGAGGGAACGUAUGGCUUCACGGGGCUCGGGGCGGCGAGAUGCCUUCCCUGCCUGCGGUCUGCACGCUCAGGAGGGAAAGGAUAGGGAGACAAAUGUCGCUAAUUUAAGGUGAAGAGCAGUGGUGGCGUGAAGGAAAAGCAGCCUGUGUUCUGUGUGGAGACCUUCCUGAAGAUUCAUUGCUGUUCAGUUUUUAUGGCGUCUUAGAUGUGAAUUUUAGGAGCUUGUGGAAAGAAGAGGCUGAUAAUCAAGAGGGAGAUUCUGCCAAUGUAUCCAGGCAUUACCGGGAGUUUGAAUGCAGGUCUCUGGAGGUGCAAGCCCGCUCUGCCUGCUGCCGGCUUCACCCCACCCAUUUGGACUCUGACCCUUGAGGAGGGUGGACACCAAGGGGCACUUCUGCUACGCACCAUCUCACAGGGAGCUGAAGGAAUCUACUUCGACCUGAGUGACUCAGCUCUAAUAAAGUGAUGAACUGAAGAAGUCUGGACUGGGAAGGGGUCUUUGUGGUCACCUACUUGAUGCACUUUGGGAGGUGGUUUGGUGACUGAAAACCAAACUGGGGAGCAGUCCCACGCUCCCCAGCUGCAGCCUUGGACCAACUAAACCAAGGAAGUCCAUGGUGGAUGACUUUAAAAGGCACCUUGGAGUCAUUAGGUCGGAGGUUUUGUUGAGUCCCUUCUAGUAGCGUGAGGCCCUUCAGAGAUGGUGAGCCGAGUGUGGCCGCCUUCCUUCCUCACCUGCCUCUCCCCAUGGGGCAGGAGGAGGGGCACAUACUGAGAAGGGAAGCCUGAGGUCCUAUCGCAAGCUUGAGCUACUCUGCUUGGCAUCCCAAGCCCUAUGUACCCCUCCAACAUUAACCAGCUGCCCUGAGAGGAGAAGGUGUGGUGCAUUGCAUGGAUCCAUCCAGAAGGACAGGAACAAGAGGAUAAAUAUCAAGGCUUUACUUGUGAAAAGGCUUUCCUGGGUGAUGAAAUGAUCGUGAAGUGGCACAUUAAUUCAGGAGGAAAGAUGCAAAAAACAGCCUAUCAUAACUUCAAACUUCACCAUCUUGCUGUAGCAAGCAUCCCUUGAAAUGCUAAUUAAAACGAGCUGAGGGAGAGGAGCCUGCUAACAGGAUCACAGCCUCGCUGGGAUUAAGUAAUAAACAUGUAGUAGGCAUCCAUGUUUCUCUGUAUGCGUAUUUUCCAAGCUGAGUUGACUGUAAAUGUUGCGGUUAUGUGAAACCCACACAGAGGAGGAUGAGAACACAAACUAGAGAGGCAAGGCCUAGUCACCAAGCUAGAAGAGAAAAAAAACACAACAGUCUUCCACAAAUAAAUAAAUAACUGCCUGAAAUGAGGGCUAAUUAACUUGCAAUAAACCAACUUAACCACUUAGGGGCAGCGUUAACACAGAGUUAACAUGCAAAACAAACCUGUAUUUUCUCACCUGGUUAAUUUAAUAUGCACGGUGAAUAUUCACAGUGUGUGAAAUUCUGAUGCAUCAACACACCGAGCAAUGCAGUCUGUCCAACCCGGGAACAUGUGGCAAUAGGAGUAACUCAGUCGCUGCUCACAGGGCGUUGACUUUGAUAGUUGACAAUUUCUAAACACAGUCAUAGAGGUACGGCUUUGCUGCUUUUCCUCUGUCAGGGUCAUGGAGUAUGUUCUAUACAAAGAUUAAAACCUAAAAAAGGAGAUAAAAAAGGGCUUCGCUUAAAAUAAACAGAAAGAAGAUGAAAUAGAAAAAA